rnacentral:rRNA from 1 species
GCGAAUUCACUAGUGAUUGGAAACAGGUGCUAAUACCGGAUAAUAAAGCAGAUCGCAUGAUCAGCUUUUGGAAGGCGGCGUAAGCUGUCGCUAAGGGAUGGCCCCGCGGUGCAUUAGCUAGUUGGUAAGGUAACGGCUUACCAAGGCGACGAUGCAUAGCCGAGUUGAGAGACUGAUCGGCCACAUUGGGACUGAGACACGGCCCAAACUCCUACGGGAGGCAGCAGUAGGGAAUCUUCCACAAUGGACGCAAGUCUGAU